GUCGGGAUAGCUCAGCCGGUAGAGCA
rnacentral:tRNA from 1 species